rnacentral:piRNA from 1 species
UUCAAGGAUUGAUCCCGCUACCUGGGCUUAG